AACUCGGGACGGAGACGGAAGCGCCGCCGCCGCCCUCGACCUGCCCACCCGCUCCUGCUCCGGAUCCAGCCCCAACGGCUACCCACCAGCUCCACUUUCCUUCUAUACCCGCCGCCACGCCACGCCACGCACGCCACCUCGCCGAAGCCGUGCCCCUCAAGCACAAGCCUCCGGCUGCCGCGACCGCCUCUGCCCCGGCUAUAAAGGCGCGCCCUUUGGCCGGCCAGCUCCCCCUCUCUUCAUCCGGGGCUCCGGGCCACUCCUCCUGUAUUCGCCCGGGCCAUGCCCUCUCGCCUCGGCUCGUCCUCGGUUCCUGCCUCGCCUCCUCCUGCGCCUGGUUCUAUCUCGCUCAUCCCCGCUCGAUUCGUCCGUUCGGAUUAGAAGAAUCAGAUUUGGUUUCGCUCGUCCGUGGGGUUCUUGGUUUAUUUGGUUCUGCUCGUCCUCGCCAUCGUUCGUUCAGAAAUCGCGUCUGGUUCUUUCGAUUCUGCUCGUCCUCGCUGUCGUUCGUUCAGAAAUCGCGUCUGGUUCAUUCGAUUCGAUUCUGCUCGUCCUCGCCGUCGUUCGUUUAGGAAUGGCGUCUGGUUCAUUCGAUUCUGCUCUGCUCGUCCUCGCCGUCGUCCGUUUAGAUCAGAGUCGCGUCUGUCUUGAUUUUGCUUGUCCUCGCCGUCGUCAGUUUAGGUAGAACAGCGUCUGAUUUGAUUUUGCUCGCUCUCGCCGUAGUCCGUUUGCAAUCGCGUCUGAUUUGAUUCUGCUCGAUCCCCUGUCUUUCUGCAGGGUUCGCGUGUUCUUUGUGCCGUCUCGUCGGGGUAUCCGGGGAGGAAGCGAGCGGUCGGUCGGUCGGUUUGGCUCGUCUGGUUUGCGAACUAGCAAGUCUGUUUGAGAAACUCCUGCGUGCGCUUCUGUCAUCCGAGAGGCGCUCACGUUCCUGCGUUUCUUGUUCGCGUGGGGCCGAUGUUAGCGUCUGCUUUUGAAAUUGGAUUACGGUUUAUCAUGCUCGUUCAGAUCGGUUCCUCUGUCUGUCCCGUCACCUGCGCUGUUCGUCGGUUAUUUUCAUAUCUCAAACGCAUGCGCCCUUUGAUACUACUGUGCUUGGUGAAUGUUCAGAUCUCAAACGCUGCGUUGUUCAGAUUGGUUAUUUUGAAAUUGGAUUGUUGGCCCUCUGUCGGUUCUUGUUCUACUUGAUUGAUGGAUGUUCAGGGUGUUACUGCUUAUGUUGUUUUCAAUUGCUUAAUUCUUGUCAUGCUUUGCUUAUGUUCCCAUAUAUUGUUAUGUGUAUUCAGGGGUGCUUAGGCAGAAAGUUUUACUAGAGCGCAAACCAUGUAAUUCCUCAUGCAGUGCUUGAAUUUCUUUAUAGCUUUAUCUGAAUCACCCUCACUGCUCUAGAGAAAUCAGUUUACUCAUUUAAGUUCUGGAAUUUCUUUAUAGCUUUCUCUGUUUGUGCCCCUAUCUAUCUCUGUUUCUUGUGUGCAAGUGCUCCAUUCUGUGUGUGUGGCUUGAUGGUUAAUAUGUGUGGCUUGACUCUGUGUGUGUGUGGCUUGAUUGUGUGUGUGUGUGGCUUGACUGUAUGCGUGUGUGAAUGUGUGUGGCUUGAUGGUGAAUAUGUCUGGCUUGUCUCUGUGUGUGUGUGUGUGUGACUGUGUGUGACUUUGAGUGGCUUGACUGUGUGUGUGUGCGCGCGCGCACGACUGUGUGAAUAUUGCAUUUGCUUCAUGGUGUGGCUUGUAUGCUUUGUUGAAUGGUUGGUUGUAUAACUUGUGUUCUAUAUUGUUGUGGCACGAUUGAUUGCUGUUUGUUGAAUGUGAACUCGUAUCUUGACGAAUAAUCAUGUAUGCUAACUUGGUAUUGGUAGUUCCUCAUCAUAGGUAACCCACCUAUUACUUGUUUAGUGUAGACUAACUAUUCUUAUUUCUGAACUUUUUUGCGAUUAUGUCUUCACAUUGCACUGCUCCCUGAUCCAUAUCGACAUGCCCACGCUGUCUGAUGAGGAUAAAGAUGUAAGGAACUCCUCCCAAGAAUCUCUCUUUCUCCUUCUAUUAACUUGGGGACUAGACAUGUUAAAAAAUAAUUUUUUUCAUGAAACUGGAGCUCCUUGCUGUAACCCAUUUUAUGACUUUAUGAGCAUGCACGACUUUCAGGUUAUGAAGAAAUGGGGUGCUCCAAACAAGAUUGACUUCCUCUCUCUUUCUUAUACAAGGCAUGCAGAAGAUGGCAAGUAACUCAUUAUGUCGAUAUUUAGAGUGUACUACUUCACACUGCCAUCUUUCCCAACAGAUUGAAUUUUUUUAUAUUGAUAUUUUGUUGAAUAGUAUCACAUGUUUGUUUGCAUUUCAUACUUUAAAUGUUCCUAAUGUUGAUAGUUUUUUUCCUGCAAUAGGCACGGGAUUUCCUCUCAAAGUUAGGUGAUCUUAGUCGAACUCUGUUUUUUUGCCAAAAUUGAGAAUGUGGAGGGCUUGAACCAUUUUGAUGAGAUCCUGGAAGAAGCAGAUGGUAUAACUCUGUCAAGGGGAAACCUUGGAAUUGAUCUUCCACCUGAAAAGGUGUUCUUAUUUCAGAAGUCUGCUCUGCACAAGUGCAACAUGGCCGGAAAGCCUGCUGUUGUUACUCGUGUUGUGGACAGUAUGACGGAUAACCUAAGGCCUACUCGUGCGGAGCUACUGAUGGGCAGACGCGGUGCUGGA